UUCCUUGGUGUAACUACUUCCACCUUGGCUGAUUUCAAGAUACCAACUCGCUGGUAAAAUUCCUGAGUGUUGAACCAUCCUCUCAGGAGUUGGAGGAGCCAGCCCCAGCGCACCACUGGCUGAAAGUAAUCAUUCAAAUUGACUGGAGCAGUUCAGCCAGGAGUGUGUUCUGCCAGACUCAGGUAAGCCACCCCUGGGUGGGGCUCGGCAUGUGUGUUCAGGGCUUGGAAACAGUUUCUCCCCCUCGGCUCCCCCACCUGCAACCAGGGGAGCCAGCCCCUUGCUGGGCUGUGGCGAGGGUGGCCGCAUGCUCGCCACGCCUCCCUAGCCACCCUACGUGUCACAGAUGAAGCUGAAGACCAAGGUUCCUACUCAGUGGGAGGCAGGUGCCUGACUCAUGCUCAAGAAGGGGCGCUUAACGGCUGCCUGAGUGCCUCCUUCCUGAAGCAGAGUGGCAGCAAUGAAAUGAGAUCCAUUAUUAUUACUUGUUUCAUUUCAUGGUUAUUGCUGAAAGUUGUCAUGUAGAAAGGAUCUGCCCAUGGCACCGUGGCAUGCCACCACUCUGAGGUCUGCCUUAGCCUCCCGGGUGAGACGGCCUCUGGGCUGCAGGAACACCUGGGUCUCUCUACUCCAGGGACCACGUAAGGAGAGAGUCCCUUCCGCCAAUAUUUUAUUUAAAACUUUUUUCAGCAUAGGAACAGUUUUGAGACCACCUCAUCCUGACCAUUUACUGGCCUGAUUGGAGAGUGCCUCUUGGCAGCUCAGAGUGCGCUUUGGAGCAACCAUGGAAAUCCUGGUCUUUAAAAGUUUGAUCCCAUGGCCAAGGAGUGGUGGGUCUUGUUCCCACUUGAGAAUGAAAAUAUUGUGAAGGCCUUUCUAGCCACCAUUCCAGAUCGGUGACAUGGAGGCUUUCCCUGGCACGACGCCCUGAUGCUGGGCAGAGGGAUGGAGGUGACUUUGCUCUCCUGCUGGCUCCAUCAUGGUUGCCCUCGCAGGAUGGGGAGAUAGAGACUUGACAGCCUGUUGAAGGGGCAGAGUUAAGGCAGUGAGGAUGACCCCUAACCCAGCCGUGGCACACAGGGCCAGGCUGGGCCCUAUUGCAGCCAGCCCUAGAUGGCCAGAGAUGGUGGCUUUCUCUGAGGAAUAACUUACAAGGCCUGAAAUUCUCACCGUUGCCAUCUGUCCAUUGAGGUAUUACUGUUACUGCGCCCAGCAUUUUUACUCUGCUUCCUAGAUAUUCUUAUGAAUGCACAGAAGUGCCACCUGGAGGGGCUACCCCUUUACCUUCAAAAUGACAGGGAAGAGCAGCCCCUCAGUAGCCAGGGUCACUCAGGGUCCUAGAGGCCAGGGAUGCAGAGCAGGGUGGGUUUACGGAAAGUCUUGAAUAAGGAGGGAUCUGGGACGGCAGGACAGGAGAAAGAGGACAGUGGAAGGACUGCCAGGGCCGGGAGGAGGGCCUGGCGUCCAGGGACGGGACAGGCAGAGGCAUUAGUCAUCAUCACUUUGAUGGUUCAGUCCAGGAGACUAAAAUUGUCAUGUGCAGGGGAGAGCAGGCAGUGGCUGAGAGAGCUCCAAAGGCAACUGAUUUCUUCUUGGAAGCUGUUAAGGCUGUUGAUUUAAGUCAUGACAGGCUCAAGGGCACUAAGAGAUUCUCUCAAAAGGAAAUCAAACUGCUUCUCCAGGCAACAGCCUCUGCGAGCCAACCAGAUUUUCUCCAAGAUGGAGACUCAGCCCAGCCAACAUUCUACCACAGAAGCGACUGACCUGGCCUGGGGGUCCACCAGCCCAACCACUGGGUGUAAAAUUCCAUGCUGCCUCCCUCUAGUGCUUCCCACUGGAAGAGCUGACAUGGAGCCAGCUGGCAAAGCUGGACUACGGUUCGCAGAGCUCAGCUCCAGCACGAGGCUGAGAACAGAAGACUUACUAGCCAUGAGUCCUGACACUUUCAGAGUUGGAGUUCUGGAAAUGAGAAGAGGCAAGGGGAGCAGGAAAGCUCUUGCCUGAUUGGCCUGGGCAUGGUGAUGUGGCGUCUGCUCUCUCUGGACUUGGCAGACGUUGAAAGCUGACUCUCACAGGCUCUUUUUGAUGAUCUUAACUCACAAUCACUGAGGAUCUCUUCCCUGAAGUUUGCUUCACAGGACAAAUGCUCUCUAUUCCAGCCACUCACUUACUCACUCAUUCCUUCCUCGGCCUCUAUGAAUGUGCUGAUACCUCAAGCUUCUCCCUGAGAAGACCUGUUUAUUCCUCCAUGCAGCCCUCUUGGACAGAUCCAAGACAAUCCCUCACUGCCAUAGCGGGUAGGGGGAAACUUCUCCUGUGCCCUCUUAUAUUCAGUGACCGAGGCCAGCAAAUUAAACUGACAAAGAAAAGAUUAACAGGAGAGUAGGUUUAUUUCAUAUGCAUACGCGGGACCUCACAGAAAAGAAGUGAAAAUCCCCCAAAGCAAUAAUGCCUGGGGGUUUAUGUACCAUUUUAACAAAGGACAACACAGUGUAGAGAAGAGUUAAAGGGGUUUGAGCUUCUGGGGUGGUGAAUUGGAGGAAGGUAAAUAUACAGGGGAACCUAAUGGAAGAUGAGGGUUAUUUUAGUAAGGCUUGUUAUGCAGAUUCAAGUCAGUGCCUCAGUGAUUAAGCAGGAGAGGGGAGGGGGCAUACCUUCACACAGGGAAAUGUACCCCUGCUUUCAGGCAGAAAGAGGGGGGCAGAGAGCUCCUUUUGUGUCUGCUGUUUCUUAAUUGCCUUCAGCUCAAAAUAGUCCUAACAUCAAAGUGGUGUAUUUUGGGGUGGCAUAUUCUGAUCCCCUUCACUGCCAACCCUAUCAUGGGUGAGACCCAUAUCUGGGCACGCACUCACGAAUCCUCUUGUGACAAAUUUGGGGCGCACAAGCUGUCAUGGCUACCUCCCCGAGACCUUCCCUUUCCUCCACAGUCAAAGCCAUAGCUAGCCCAUCACUUGUCCUUUAAGUUUGGCGGGAACUGGACACCUGUGCAGUGUGUCCCCUGAGCUACUAGGGACACAAAUGAAGCUCUUUCAGUGGGCAAGUUGAACCCCCUUUUCCUAAGCAUGCGACAAGGGCCCUGUACUCCCUUCGCUCUCCACGGGUGGGAGAGGGACUCACCGCGCACCAAAAACUUUGUUCCUGGCCGUUUUAUCACCAUGAAUGAGGGGUGCAGCCAUCACAAAGCUGGUUUCUCUGCUCCCUUUCCUCCAAAGCCUGCACGGGGGUCUGGGACCUCUUUUUGGAACGUGAUCUCCAUUGUCUUCAGGCCUUAGCAGAAACGCCUAUUCUAACAUCUCGUUACAUGUGUACAUUGAGAAAACUGAAUAAAGUAGCCAGGUUGCCCUAUUAUUCUAAAAGUAUCAAUAUUCUUAAAGCUACCAAACCUGAGUAAAAUGGCCAGAAUGGGUCUGUUUGGGUCUAUUAGGGACUAUUCAUGGCGGGGAGAGAUGCUGCAGACCUUACCCCAGGGCCUCGGAAUCAUCUUGCAAGUGAAAUCACUCAGCUGUUUCUAAUCCUGUGUAGAAGGAUCACAAACUCUGGGAGUGUUGGGGCCGGCCCAGUGGCAUAGUGCUUAAGUUUGCGCACUCCACUUCAGCAGCCCAGCGUUUGCAGGUUUGGAUCCUGGGUAUGGACCUACACACUGUUCAUCAGGGCGCACUGUGGCAGCAUCCCACAUAAAAUACAGGAAGAUUGCCACAGACUUUAGCUCA
ensembl:lncRNA